rnacentral:rRNA from 1 species
UACGUAGGGUGCGAGCGUUGUCCGGAUUUACUGGGCGUAAAGCGCACGUAGGCGGAUCGUUAAGUGAGGGGUGAAAUCCCAGGGCCCAACCCUGGAACUGCCUUUCAUACUGGCGAUCUAGAGUCCGGAAGAGGUGAGUGGAAUUCCUAGUGUAGAGGUGAAAUUCGUAGAUAUUAGGAAGAACACCAGUGGCGAAGGCGGCUCACUGGCCCGGUACUGACGCUGAGGCGCGAAAGCGUGGGGAGCAAACAGG